rnacentral:rRNA from 1 species
AUUGAACGCUGGCGGCAUGCUUUACACAUGCAAGUCGAACGGUAACAGGUUAAGCUGACGAGUGGCGAACGGGUGAGUAAUGCAUCGGAACGUGCCCGGUCGUGGGGGAUAACGCAGCGAAAGCUGCGCUAAUACCGCAUACGAUCUGAGGAUGAAAGCGGGGGACCGUAAGGCCUCGCGCGAUCGGAGCGGCCGAUGUCCGAUUAGGUAGUUGGUGGGGUAAAGGCUGACCAAGCCAACGAUCUGUAGCUGGUCUGAGAGGACGACCAGCCGCACUGGGACUGAGACACGGCCCAGACGCAUACGGGAGGCAGCAGUGGGGAAUUUUGGACAAUGGGCGAAAGCCUGAUCCAGCAAUGCCGCGUGCAGGAAGAAGGCCUUCGGGUUGUAAACUGCUUUUGUACGGAGCGAAAAGGUCUCCUCUAAUACAGGGGGCUCAUGACGGUACCGUAAGAAUAAGCACCGGCUAACUACGUGCCAGCAGCCGCCGUAA